rnacentral:lncRNA from 1 species
GGCAAUGGGUAGUAGUAAUGUGAUUUGCUUUAUAACUGUUUGCUUUGCAUUGGCAACUGAGCUGUGGCCACACUCCAACUGGCAGUGGAGAUGGAACCUUAAUUUUAGAUUGUGUCCCCAAUGUUUGGUGACAAUGGAUUAUGGCACUUCAAAUGAGAAGGGGAAUUUUCUUCCUUUUUGAAAUGUGAAUUAACAAAAUGCUUAUUCUCAGCAGAAGUUGUUUUCAUGGGCUUUUCCAUUUAUUUCUGCUGUGGUUGCCUUCCUCUACUGCCUCUUUGCUAGACAGGCAAACAGUCACACACACAUAGUUCAUAUACCCAUUAAAUCAUGCUAUUAGAAUGGAACUUUUUUGUUUGUUUGUUUUUUGAGAUGUUAUGUCACAAGGAACCCUUGUGUUCUGUAGGUCAAUCACUGUGCAAUACUACGUAGAUUCAGAGAUAGGUAUUAAGCAUAAUAAAUCAAUCACACUUUUCUCUAAAGC